CUGCACGAUUUUCGCGCAGUCUCGGGGUCAAGCCGUUUGGCAAGACAAUUUUUUUCCAAUUCUUGCGCUCUGUCAGUUUACUUACUACAAGUAAUGGGUACUAUGUACGCCGGCCAGUUUCUCUUCGUUGAGAGA
rnacentral:sRNA from 1 species